CAGUCGCCGCGGGAAUACAGAGGGUGCGAGCGUUAAUCGGAUUUACUGGGCGUAAAGCGUGCGUAGGCGGCUAAUUGAGUCGGAUGUGAAAUCCCCGAGCUUAACUUGGGAAUUGCAUUCGAUACUGGUUAGCUAGAGUGUGGGAGAGGAUGGUAGAAUUCCAGGUGUAGCGGUGAAAUGCGUAGAGAUCUGGAGGAAUACCGAUGGCGAAGGCAGCCAUCUGGCCUAACACUGACGCUGAGGUACGUAAGCAUGGGGAGCAAACAGGAUUAGAUACCCCGGUAGUCCCUGUCUCUUAUAC
rnacentral:rRNA from 1 species